AAACCAACAGGGAUUGCCUCAGUAACGGCGAGUGAAGCGGCAAGAGCUCAAAUUUGAAAGCUGGCUCCUUCGGGGUCCGCAUUGUAAUUUGCAGAGGAUGCUUCGGGAGCGGCCCCCAUCUAAGUGCCCUGGAACGGGCCGUCAUAGAGGGUGAGAAUCCCGUAUGGGAUGGGGUGCCCGCGACCAUGUGAAGCUCCUUCGACGAGUCGAGUUGUUUGGGAAUGCAGCUCUAAAUGGGUGGUAAAUUUCAUCUAAAGCUAAAUAUUGGCCGGAGACCGAUAGCGCACAAGUAGAGUGAUCGAAAGAUGAAAAGCACUUUGAAAAGAGAGUUAAAAAGCACGUGAAAUUGUUGAAAGGGAAGCGCUUGCGACCAGACUCGCCCGCGGGGUUCAGCCGGUAUUCGUACCGGUGUACUUCCCCGUGGGCGGGCCAGCGUCGGUUUGGGCGGCCGGUCAAAGGCCCUCGGAAUGUAACGCCUCUCGGGGCGUCUUAUAGCCGAGGGUGCCAUGCGGCCAGCCCGGACCGAGGAACGCGCUUCGGCACGGACGCUGGCAUAAUGGUCGUAAGCGAC
rnacentral:rRNA from 1 species